rnacentral:piRNA from 1 species
UAUGUCUUUUUAAGAUGCAUAGCAGUGUUC